rnacentral:rRNA from 1 species
UACGUAGGGGGCAAGCGUUGUCCGGAUUUAUUGGGCGUAAAGAGCGUGUAGGCGGCCAGGUAGGUCCGUUGUGAAAACUCGAGGCUCAACCUCGAGACGUCGAUGGAAACCAUCUGGCUAGAGUCCGGAAGAGGCGAGUGGAAUUCCUGGUGUAGCGGUGGAAUGCGCAGAUAUCAGGAGGAACACCGAUGGCGAAGGCAGCUCGCUGGGACGGUACUGACGCUGAGGCGCGAAAGCGUGGGGAGCGAACAGG